AUUGAACGCUGGCGGCAUGCUUUACACAUGCAAGUCGAACGGCAGCGCGGGCUUCGGCCUGGCGGCGAGUGGCGAACGGGUGAGUAAUACAUCGGAACGUGCCCAGUAGUGGGGGAUAGCUCGGCGAAAGCCGGAUUAAUACCGCAUACGACCUGAGGGUGAAAGCGGGGGAUCUUCGGACCUCGCGCUAUUGGAGCGGCCGAUGGCAGAUUAGCCAGUUGGUGGGGUAAAGGCCUACCAAGGCGACGAUCUGUAGCUGGUCUGAGAGGACGACCAGCCACACUGGGACUGAGACACGGCCCAGACUCCUACGGGAGGCAGCAGUGGGGAAUUUUGGACAAUGGGCGAAAGCCUGAUCCAGCAAUGCCGCGUGUGUGAUGAAGGCCUUCGGGUUGUAAAGCACUUUUGGCGGGAACGAAAAGGACUGUGCCAAUACCACGGUUCGAUGACGGUACCCGCAGAAUAAGCACCGGCUAACUACGUG
rnacentral:rRNA from 1 species